CUUGGGUCCCCUUCCAUGCUGUGGAAGCUUUUCCUUUCACUCUUCACAAUAAACCCUGCUACCACUCACUCCUUGGGUCCAUGCCAUCUUUAAGAGGUGUAACACUCACCGUGAAGGUCUGUGGCUCCAUUCUUGAAGUCAGCGAGACCAUGAACCCACUGGCAGGAACCAACUCUGGACACAUCUUGGGGGCUCAUCCAGGAUAUCACCACAUGGAAUCGAGGCCAUCAAGCUACAGAUGGUCUUACAAAUGGAACCCCAAAUGAGCUCAGCUCACAUCUUCUGCCAAGGACCCCUGGACCGACCCACUGGCCUUUUGACUGGCCUAGAGAGUUCCCCUCUGGAGGGCACUACAACUGCAGGGCCCCUUCUUUACCCCUAUCCAGCAAGAAGUAGGUAGAGUGGUCAUUGCCCAGUUCCCAACAGCAGUUGGGAUGUCCUGUUUAGAAGAGGGAUUGAGAGGUGAAGCCAACUAGACUUUCUGGGUCCAGUGGGGGGACUUGGAGAACUUUUUGGUCUUACAAGAGGAUUGGAAAACACACCAAUCAGGGACUUCCCUGUCUUACAAGAGGAUUGUAAAAUGCACCAAUCAGUGCUCUGUAAAAUGCAUCAAUUAGUGCUCUGUAAAACCCACAACUCAGCAGGAUUCUAAAAGUAGCCAAUCGCAGGGAGGAUUUAAAAAAGGACACUCUGAUAGGACAGAAACAGAACAUGAGAGGGACCAACAAGGGAAUAAAGGCUUGUCACCCCAGCCAGCAGCAGCAACCCACUCAGGUCCCCUUCCACACUGUGGAAGCUUUGUCCUUUCGCUCUUCACAAUAAACCCUGCUACUGCUCACUCUUUGGGUCCGUGCCAUCUUUAAGAGCUGUAACACUCACCGCAAACGUCUGCAGCUCCAUUCUUGAAGUCAGCGAGACAACAAACCCACCAGCAGGAACCAACUCCGGACACAGGAGUAUCCUUACCCCUUUCUGAUAGAUUUUAGGGGAUGGAGUAUUUGUCCUGAGAAGGCCAAUACAUCCAUCUGACACUUGUCUCUAUCCCCAUUUCCUAUGUAAGUAUUUGACUCUUCAGCCAUCCAGUACACUGGCUCUGUCUUUCUGGUUUACACCCGCUAUCCCUGUGUCAGCACUCAUUUCUGCUUUAGCCCAUUAACUUCCUUUCUCACAACUCUACUGAACUUGUCAAUAGGCACAUCAGUGAUCUCCUGCAUGCCCAGGUCUCGUGGACAUUUUUCUUCAUGUUUUUUGACUGCUGCUCUGCCUCACUUGAUAUUACAAUCUCCUUUCCUUGAAACCCUAGGCUACGGUAGCACUACACUUUACUGGUUUUCCAUUACCUUUCUUACUUCUCCUUUGUUUUUUUUCCAGAGUCCCUCCAGAUGUGGCCUAGGAAUCCUUUUAAACACAGUGCUCCAGGCAGAAAUUAGUUGGAGUUAGUUUACAAGAUGCAAUUUAUUUGCCAUCCAUCCUUGCAUUUCAGUUCCAUUAUUUGUCCUCAACAUGACUGUCUAUAAAAACACUUUCUCCUUCCCUGGGAUGGCAGCUAACAAGACCUAGCAAAGAGAAAUGGGAAAUUUUAUUCACAAUUUCACAUGGGAAGCAAUUGGUAAGAUUAUUUUACUGCCAAGGAUAAUAAAAUUAAUGAGAGAGUUGAAGAAAGAGGCAUGAAUUCUGAAAUUAUAUAGAACCAUCUAAGAGGUAAAACUGAGGUGUUUUAUCCAUAACUGUAGGCUGUGUUUGUUUUCAUAGAAGUACUGUCUGAUUUAUGGACAUGCCAUUGAUUACACUAGAAUUACAGAUUGGGCACAUUAAGCACACCAACUUAAAAAUCCUUGACAUUUUAAAAAUACCUCUGGCAGGGUUUCAGAGUACUCAUGAUAUUUAAAAUAGUACCAUGAUUUGUUGGUUUCUGAAGUAUAAUUUUGUUUAGUCACAUGUAUGAUAAGAACAUACAGACUUCUUGCUGUGGGCGUUGGCUCAUGCUUAUAAUGCCUGUAAUCCCCGCUACUCAGGAGGCUGAGUCAGGAUGAUUGCUUGAGGCCAGGACUUUGAGACCAGCCUGGACAAUAUAGCAAGACUGUCUCUAAAAAAAAUAACAAUCAUAAAAAGAUUCCUUGGUUUGUAGGAUUAAUUUUUUUUUCAUUUUUCUCGCAUUAAUCUGCCACUUUUAUCUAAGAUACCUUAAGUUUCUUUAUUCCUUGGAUUCGUAGUGCAGUGAAAUGAUUAGGGCAGGGUUUUGAAACCAGAUACCUGGGUUCAAAUACUGGUGUGGACUGUAUAUUUGGGGGCAAUGGCCUUAAAUCCUCUGACUUUCCAGUGUCUUUUAAAUGAGUAAAAUAAGCCUUACUUUGUGGAAUGUUGCAAAGAUGAGAGAAGAUGUAUGUAAAAUGUUUACCUAUUACAGUGCUUGAUAUGUAGUAGACAAAUUCUAAAAUUACACUGAACCAUUUUGCCCAUUGUGGCUUUAGAAUAGAAAAGCAUACUCAUACAUUAAAUUGUGCACCUAGGGCCAGGAGCGGUGGCUCACACCUGUAAUCCCAGCACUUUGGGAGGCCGAGGUAGGCAGAUCACGAGGUCAAGAUAUCGAGGCCAUCCUGACCAACGUAAUGAAACCCUGUCUCUACUAAAAAUACGACAAUUAGCCAGGCGUGGUUGUACGUGCCUGUAGUCCCAGCUACUAGGGAGGCUGAGGCAGGGGAAUCACCUGAACUUGGGAGGCGGAGGUUGCAGUGAGCCGAAAUGGUGCCACUGCACUCCAGCGUGGGCAACCGAGUGAGACUCCGUCAAAAAAAAAAAAUGUGCACCUAUAGCUAAGUGACUCCAGCCCUGUGGAACCCUUCAAUGCCAAAAUGGCAUGUAGGACUAGAUAGAUGAAUGUCACCUGACCCUGAUCGUCUAUUAGUACUCACUGUAUUUUAUUACUAUUAUUUGGAGACAGAGUCUCACUCUGUCACCCAGGCUGAAGUGCAGUGGCGCAAUCUCGGCUCACUCACUGCAACCUCUACCUCCCAGGUUCAAGUGAUUUUUCUGCCUCAGCCUCCCGAGAAGCUGGGAUUACAGGCUACUGCCACCACACCCAGCUAAAUUUUGUAUUUUUAGUAGAGACUGGGUUUCAGCAUGUUGGCCAGGCUUGUCUUGAAUUCCUGACCUCAGGUGAUCCGCCUGCCUCGGCCUUCCAAAGUGCUGGGAUUACAGGCAUCAGCCACUGCACCCAGCCAACUCGAUGUAUUUUAAAAUCACUCUUACUGGUCAUUAGUCUUAUUACAUAUCAGUAUAAUGAACAUUUUAUUUAUUCAAGUCCUUUAAUUUUUUUUAGGUGGGGAUAAUAAAAUUUCAGUUGCAUUCCACCUGUUUCUUCAUGUGCAUAUCUGGAUGCACAUGUAAUUUGUUGGUACCAGUUUUCAUUGCUUUACUGAGCAUUUGUUGAGUAUCUAUGAUGUGGAAAGUAUUGUGCCGGGUGCUGGAGACAGAGAAGUUGAGUAAAGCAUAGUGUCAUCAUCCCUGUCUUCAGUGAGCUCAGCCAGGUGGGGUGGGGAGCAGAAAAGAAAUGUGAAUCGAUAGUUCCAGGGCAAAGUAAUAAGUGCUUUAUUAUGAUAUGCAAAGGUUUGUGCGUACCCUAGAGGAGCACAUGAAAGGGAGUCAUUAACUUGCUGAAGCUUCUGAAAGGGCUUUAGAGAAGUCGAACAUCUGAUCUGGUUCUUGAGUAAUGAGUAGGUGUUCACCAAGUAGAGGUUAAAGAAAGAUUGAAAAGUUGAAACUCAAACCUCAUGACCAUGCCUCCCUGUCUUCUCUUCUCAAAUCCAUAUCAUUCCUGAUACAUUAUUAAAUGGAUCUAUUUUGAAACGUCAUGCAUUUACUCCCAGUCCAAACCCUCUCCCAGGUUAUAGGCCUCACUCAUGCAUCUGAAGAGGACACACAGGGCAAAAGAAAGAGAGCAGUGGGUGGGGGGGCUCUGAGGGUCACAUUGGUCAACCAAGGGUGCCAUUCUUUUUCCUUACAAAUCAGAUUUACUGAGGUAGAAUGUACUUACAGUAAAAAUGUAUCCAUUUUAAGUUUAUAGUUUGGUACAUUUUAACAAACGUAUAGACUCUUUGCCACCACAGUGAAGAUAGAGAACAUUUCUAUCACCCCAAAAAAAUUCCUUAUGCCCCUUUUGAGUCAGUCCCCAUCCCCCAGUCCCGGGCAGGUGCUCACUGGCUUUCUAUCACUAUAGAUUAGUUUUACCUUUUCCAGAAUUUUAUACAAAUGAAUUCAUACAGUUUGCACUUAUUUCACCUAGCAUAGUGUUUCUAAGACUCAUUCUUUUUCUUAAAUGUCAGUCAUUGAUUUCUUUCUACAGUGGAAUAAUUUCUAUUGUAUGAUAUAUCACAAUUUCCUUAUCCAUUCACCAUUGGGUUGUUUUCUGGUUUUGGCUAUUACAAAUAAAACCAUUAUGAACAUUCAUACACAAAACUUUGUGUGGCCAUAUGUUGUCAUUCCUCUUGAGUAAAUACUAGGGGUUGUAUUGUUGAGUUGUAUGGUAAGUAUGUGUUUCACUUUAUAAGAAAGUGUCAAACUUUUCCAAAGUGGUUUAUCAUUUUUGCAUUCCUGUCAGUCGUGUGUGAGAGUUCAAAUUGCUUUAAGUCCUUGCCAACACACCCUUCUAUUGUAGCCAUUUUAGUAGAAGUGUAAUGGUUUUUAUUGUGGUUUUGCUUUGUAUUUCUCUAAGGACUGGUGAUGUUAAGCCUUCCUUCAAGUGUUUAUUAGCCAUUCAUGUAUCUUCUUUUUUACUAUUCACAACUCACAGAUUGUUGUGACAUUUUUGUAUCUUCUUUAGUAAGUGGUCUGUUCAAGUCUUUUGCCCAUUUUUAUGGGGCUGUUUCUAUUGGGUUAUAAGGGUUCUUUCUGUACUCUGGACAUAAGGCGUUUGUCAUAUAAAGGUUUUGCAAGUAUUUUCUUUGAGCUUGUGACUUGCUUUUCAUUGCCAUAUGGUGACUUUCAAAAGAACAGAAUUUUUCAUUUUGAUGAAGUCUAGUUGAUCAGUGUUUUCUUUUAUGUUUCAUUUAUGUUUGGCCUAUUUAAGAAAUCUUGGCUAUCCUAAGGUCACAAAUAUUUUGUCUUAUGUUUUCUCUGAGAAGUUUUAGUUUUAGCUUGUUUUUUGUUUGUUUGUUGAUUUUUAAACCCACAGCCACCAUCAUACAGUUUUAGCUUUAACGUUUUGGCUUAUGAUCCACUUUGGCUUCACUUUUGUUUUUGGUAUUAGUUAAGGAUCAGGGUUCAUUCUUUUUUUUUUUUUCCACAUGAAUAUACUGUUAUUUCAGUACCAUUUGUUGAAAAGACUCUCCUUUCCUCCAUUGAAUCAUGUUGACAUCUUUGUUGAGAAUUAAUGGAACACAUGUUAGUUUAUUUCUGAACUUUGUUCUGUUCCAUUGACCUAUAGGUCUAUCCUUACACCAGUUGCACCCUGUUUGGAUUACUGUAGCUUUAUAGUAAGUUUCGAAAUGAGGUAGUGUGUAAGUCUUCCAAAUUUGUUCUGUACCUUCAAAGUUAUUUUGACUCCUCUGGGUCCUUUGCAUUUUCAUAUAAAUUUUAAUAUCCGAUUGUUUAGAAGCCUGUUGAAAUUUUAAAUAAGAUUACAUUUAAUCUAGAGAUCCAUUUGGGGAGACUUGCCAUCUUAAUAACAGCAAACCUUCCAAUUCAGAAACAGCAUAUUUUAAAAAUUUGUUUAGGUCUCCUUUAAUUUCUCUCAGUAGGAGUUUAUAGUUUUCAGUGUAAAGGUCUUAUACAAAUUAUGUUACAUUUAUCUUUAAAUAUUUUCUAUUUGGGAAUGUGAUUAUAAAUGGAAUGUUAAGAGUUUUAAUUCUCCAACUGUUUUUGUAAGUAUAGAAAUACAGUUGAUUGCUGUGAGAGGUGAAGCUGGCUGGGCUUCUCAGUCAGGUGGGGACUUGGAGAACUUUUCUGUCUAGCUAAAGGAUUGUAAACGCACCAAUCAGCGCUCUGUGUCUAGCUAAAGGUUUGUAAACACACCAAUCAGCACUCUGUAAAAAUGCACCAAUCAGCGCUCUGUGUCUAGCUAAAGGUUUGUAAACCAAUCAGCACUCUGUAAAAAUGGACCAAUCAGUACUCUGUAAAACAGACCAAUCAGCACUCUGUAAAAUGGACCAAUCAGUAGGACAUGACCAAUCAGUAGGACGUGGGCAGGGCCAAAUAAGGGAAUAAAAGCUGGCCACCCGAACCAGCAGGGGCAACCUGCUUGGGUCCUAUUCCAGGCUGUGGAAGCUUUGUUGUUUAGUUCUUCACAACAAAUCUUGCUGCUGCUAUCUCUUUGGGUCCGCACUACCUUUAUGAGCUGUAACACUCACUGCGAAGGUCUACAGCUUCACUUCUGAAGGCAGCAAGACCACGAAGCCACCAGAAGGAAAAAACUCCCGACACAUCUUAACAUCUGAAGGAACAAACUCCAGACACACCGUCUUUAAGAACUGUAACACUCACCACGAGGGUCCGCAGCUUCAUUCUUGAAGUCAACAACACCAAGAAUUCACCAGAAGGAACCAAUUCCGGACACACCUGUGUGUAAUUUUUUAUCAUGAGACCUUGCCAAAUUUACUUAGCAUUAGGUUGGUGCAAAAGUAAUUGCGUUUUUUUGCUUUUUUUUUUUUUUUUUUUUUUUUUUUAAGCAAUGGCAAAAACCAUAAUUAUUUUCACACCAACCUAAUAGUUUUAAUAGCUUCUUGGUAAAUCCCUUAGGAUUUUCUAUGUAUCCAAUCAUGUUAUUUAAAAACGCACUUUUAUUUCUUUUCUUUCCAAUCUGUUUCCCUUUAUCCUCUCCCUCACUCCUCCUCCCUUAUUGCACUGGCCAUGGCCUCUAACACAAUACUGAACAAAAGUGGUGAAUGCAAAACAUUCUUGCCUUGUUUUGUGUCUUAGCAGGAAAGCAUUUAAUAUUUUACCAAUAAACUUGAUAUUAACUGUAAGAUUUUUGUACAUGGUCUUAAUCAGUUUGAGGAAGAACUUUUCCCUUUGUUUUGUUUUGUUUUUGCUGAAACCUGUUUAUUGUUGAUUGUUUUAUCUUUUAAUUUCAAAUUUUAGGCACAAUAAUUGUAAAAAAAAAAAAAACAGAUUUUUCACAUAUGCCUCAUCCACCUUUCCCAAUGUCAGUGUCUUACCUAACGCUAGUACAAAUAUCAAUUAGCAAAUUAACAUGCUGUGUACAAGGUAUUGGUCCAGAUGUUAAAUGUAUGUAUGAAAUCUGAUUUUGAAGACUAAAGUGGAUAUUAAUAUAAACAAUUAUUUUUUGCUUUGCAAAAUAAAUUCCAGAUGAAAUUCCUUUUAAUCAAAUUUUUAUGUUGUAUGUAAUCAAAGUAUUUGGCAAGCAUCUCUUGUUGAGAAACAAGAUUCAGAGAGAGUAGAGGUAGGCCAAGGUCUCAUAACUAUUUAGUAGUAGAGCCCUCACUAAAUGCAUAUUUCCUAACCAAUUCCCACAUCACCAGCCUUCUCUGUGAUUUUCUUCUUUAAAUAUUGAUUGGCAUUGUAUUUUGCUUUCAUUGAAUUUGUACUUCAUUAUAUUUGUGUUUUAUUUUCAUUGUAUAACCACCAUGGCAUAAUGUUAUUGAGAACUGAAAGAUCAGUUACUCUGUCUUUUUAAAAAAUGUUUAAAAUGAAAUAAUAAUCUGUACAUGGUUGUGGUCCCAGCUACUUGGGAGGCUGAGGUGGAAACAUCUUUUGAGCCCAGGAGUUGAAGGUUGCAGUGAGCUAUGACCAUGCCACCGCACUCCAGCCUGGGGUGACAGAAGGUGAUCCUGUUUCUAAAAAAAAUAAAAAUAAGGCCGGGCAUGGUGGCUCAUGCCUGUAAUCCCAGCACUUUGACAGGCCAAGGUGGGUGGACCAUUUGAGGUGGGAAGUUUGAGACCAGCCUGGCCAACAAGGUGAAACCCCAUCUCUACUAAAAAAUACAAAAAUUGGCAAGGUGCAGUGGCUCAUGCCUGUAAUCCCAGCACUUUGGGAGGCUGAGGUGGGCAGAUCAUCUAAGGUCGGAAGUUUAGACCAGCCUGACCAACAUGGAGAGACCCUGUCUCUACUAAAAAUACAAAAUUAGCCAGUUGUAGUGGUGCAUACCUGUAAUCCCAGCUACUCAGAAAGCUCAAGAGGCAGGAGAAUCACUUGAACCUGGGAGGCAGAGGUUGUGGUGAGCCAAGAUCAUGCCAUUGCACUCCAGCCUGGGCAACAAGUGUGAAACUCUAUCUCAAAAGAAAAAAAAAAUUAGGUGGGCAUGGUGGUGCGCACCUGUAAUUCCAGCUACUCAAGAGACAGAGGUAGAAGAAUCACCUGAACCCAGGAGAGGAAGGUUGCAGUGAGCUGAGAUCGCACCACUGCACUCUAGCCUGGGCAACAGAGCAAGACACUGUUCAAAAUAAUUAAAUAUAUA
rnacentral:lncRNA from 10 species